GUACUUGCUUCAGAAGCACAUAUAUUAAAAUUGGAACAAUACAGAUAUGAUUUGUAUGGUCCCUGUGUGAGGCUGACAUGUAAGUAAAUUCAUGAAAUAUUUCAUAUUUUU
ensembl:snRNA U6 U6 spliceosomal RNA